rnacentral:tRNA from 1 species
GGCAAGUUGGCCGAGUUGGUUAUGGCGCCAGGUUAAGGUUCUCUUGGCAAACCACCAGACGAUUCCUGGUGGAGCAAUCCUCCUGGGUUCAAGUCCCAGACUUGUCA